AUUGAACGCUGGCGGCAGGCCUAACACAUGCAAGUCGAGCGAGCGGCGGCCGGGUGAGUAUUGUCUGGGAAACUGCCCGCUGGAGGGGGAUAUCUACUGGAAACGGUAGCUAAUACCGCAUACCAUCAGAUGUGCCCAGAUGGGAUUAGCUCGUAGGUGGGGUAACGGCUCACCUAGGCGACGAUCCCUAGCUGGUCUGAGAGGAUGACCAGCAACACUGGAACUGAAACACGGUCCAGACUCCUACGGGAGGCAGCAGUGGGGAAUAUUGCACAAUGGGCGCAAGCCUGAUGCAGCCAUGCCGCGUGUGUGAAGAAGGCCUUCGGGUUGUAAAGCACUUUCAGCGGGGAGGCGUUACCCGAAGAAGAAGCACCGGCUAACUCCGUGCCAGCAGCCGCGGUAAUUC
rnacentral:rRNA from 1 species